GACGAACGCUUGCGGCGUGCUUAACACAUGCAAGUCGAACGGAAAGGCCCUGCUUUUGUGGGGUGCUCGAGUGGCGAACGGGUGAGUAACACGUGAGUAACCUGCCCUUGACUUUGGGAUAACUUCAGGAAACUGGGGCUAAUACCGGAUAGGAGCUCCUGCUGCAUGGUGGGGGUUGGAAAGUUUCGGCGGUUGGGGAUGGACUCGCGGCUUAUCAGCUUGUUGGUGGGGUAGUGGCUUACCAAGGCUUUGACGGGUAGCCGGCCUGAGAGGGUGACCGGCCACAUUGGGACUGAGAUACGGCCCAGACUCCUACGGGAGGCAGCAGUGGGGAAUAUUGCACAAUGGGCGGAAGCCUGAUGCAGCAACGCCGCGUGCGGGAUGACGGCCUUCGGGUUGUAAACCGCUUUCGCCUGUGACGAAGCGUGAGUGACGGUAAUGGGUAAAGAAGCACCGGCUAACUACGUGCCAGCAGCCGCGGUGAUACGUAGGGUGCGAGCGUUGUCCGGAUUUAUUGGGCGUAAAGGGCUCGUAGGUGGUUGAUCGCGUCGGAAGUGUAAUCUUGGGGCUUAACCCUGAGCGUGCUUUCGAUACGGGUUGACUUGAGGAAGGUAGGGGAGAAUGGAAUUCCUGGUGGAGCGGUGGAAUGCGCAGAUAUCAGGAGGAACACCAGUGGCGAAGGCGGUUCUCUGGGCCUUUCCUGACGCUGAGGAGCGAAAGCGUGGGGAGCGAACAGGCUUAGAUACCCUGGUAGUCCACGCUGUAAACGGUGGGUACUAGGUGUGGGGUCCAUUCCACGGGUUCCGUGCCGUAGCUAACGCUUUAAGUACCCCGCCUGGGGAGUACGGCCGCAAGGCUAGAACUCAAAGGAAUUGACGGGGCCCCGCACAAGCGGCGGAGCAUGCGGAUUAAUUCGAUGCAACGCGUAGAACCUUACCUGGGUUUGACAUGGAUCGGGAGUGCUCAGAGAUGGGUGUGCCUCUUUUGGGGUCGGUUCACAGGUGGUGCAUGGCUGUCGUCAGCUCGUGUCGUGAGAUGUUGGGUUAAGUCCCGCAACGAGCGCAACCCUUGUUCACUGUUGCCAGCACGUUAUGGUGGGGACUCAGUGGAGACCGCCGGGGUCAACUCGGAGGAAGGUGGGGAUGACGUCAAGUCAUCAUGCCCCUUAUGUCCAGGGCUUCACGCAUGCUACAAUGGCUGGUACAGAGAGUGGCGAGCCUGUGAGGGUGAGCGAAUCUCGGAAAGCCGGUCUCAGUUCGGAUUGGGGUCUGCAACUUGACCUCAUGAAGUCGGAGUCGCUAGUAAUCGCAGAUCAGCAACGCUGCGGUGAAUACGUUCCCGGG
rnacentral:rRNA from 1 species